AGCCAGGGUCUUGCUUUGUUGCCUAGGCUGGAGCACACUGGCACAAUCACAGCUCACUGCAGCCUAGACCUCCCAGUCUCAAGUGAGACUCAGAGUAGCUGACCCCAUGGUAGCUGGGACCACAGGUGUGCACUACCAUGGUUGCCUUUUUUUUUUUUUUUUUUUUUGAGACAGAGUCUCACCCUGUCACCCAGGCUGAAGUGUGAUGGCAUGAUCUUGGCUCACUGCAACCUCUGCCUUCUGGGUUCAAGUGAUUCUCCUGCCUCAGCCUCCUAGGAAAAAAAAAAAAAGAUCAAAUGAGUAGUAUACUUAAAAUACUCUAAAUUUAAACUGUACGAUAUAAUAUUGUGUGAGGAUAUUAUGCAUAUACAUAUAGCUCCGUGGAUAUACAGACCUAUAUGUCUCCUGAGGAAAUACAGAGAAGUUUGAAUAAACUUCAUGGAUUUUUACUUAUUUCAGGUUUCUUAGUAUGUGGAAUCAAUGGGUUAUCUACUUACAUUAUUCUGUCGGAUUUCUUAGGCAUAUUUAAAAAAAGUAAUUCCUCAGGGAAGGGAGAAUGAAAAAAAUAAACAAAUACAUGGAAACAUGAGUUUGAACAAACAUCAUGUUCUGACACUUAAACAAUUUUUUUAAACCUGGGAAAUUAAAGUUGAUAUUCCUCCCUAAGCACCAUGCUACCAAAUGUAGAUGAAACAAAUUGAAAUAUUUUGGGGUGCUGUAUCUCAGUUUAAAAGAAAUUUACGGCUUGGCUGGUAGCUCACAUCUGUAAUCCCAGCAAUUUGGGAGGCCAAGAAUCUGAGACAAG
rnacentral:lncRNA from 1 species